rnacentral:rRNA from 1 species
CCUACGGGCGGCUGCAGUGGGGAAUAUUGGACAAUGGGGGGAACCCUGAUCCAGCCAUGCCGCGUGUGUGAAGAAGGCCCUCGGGUUGUAAAGCACUUUCAGUGAGGAAGAACGCCUGGUGGUUAAUACCCAUCAGGAAAGACAUCACUCACAGAAGAAGCACCGGCUAACUCCGUGCCAGCAGCCGCGGUAAUACGGAGGGUGCGAGCGUUAAUCGGAAUUACUGGGCGUAAAGCGCGCGUAGGUGGCUUGAUAAGCCGGUUGUGAAAGCCCCGGGCUCAACCUGGGAACGGCAUCCGGAACUGUCAAGCUAGAGUGCAGGAGAGGAAGGUAGAAUUCCCGGUGUAGCGGUGAAAUGCGUAGAGAUCAGGAGGAAUACCGGUGGCGAAGGCGGCCUUCUGGACUGACACUGACACUGAGGUGCGAAAGCGUGGGUAGCAAACAGGAUUAGAUACCCUGGUAGUC